CUUUGCUGAAGUUGCUUAUCAGCUUAAGGAGAUUUUGGGCUGAGACGAUGGGGUUUUCUAGAUAUACAAUCAUGUCAUCUGCAAACAGGGACAAUUUGACUUCCUCUUUUCCUAAUUGAAUACCCUUGAUUUCCUUCUCCUGCCUAAUUGCCCUGGCCAGAACUUCCAACACUAUGUUGAAUAGGAGUGGUGAGAGAGGGCAUCCCUGUCUUGUGCCAGUUUUCAAAGGGAAUGCUUCCAGUUUUUGCCCAUUCAGUAUGAUAUUGGCUGUGGGUGUGUUAUAGAUAGCUCUUAUUAUUUUGAGAUACGUCCCAUCAAUACCUAAUUUAUUGAGAGUUUUUAGCAUGAAGCAUUGUUUUAUUUUGUCAAAGGCCUUUUCUGCAUCUAUUGAGAUAAUCAUGUGGUUUUUGUCUUUGGUUCUGUAAUGCUUUCUGAGAUCAAAACAUAAAGAAUCAAUUUAGUGAAUACGACAUGUGCUCUAAUCAUGUUCUCAACAUUAUAUCUCACUUGCUUUCUUUUCAAUAGCUCAAUGUUCCUGGCCUAAUCAUCUGUUUUCACGAUAGAUAGGAAUUCAAUGUUUCUAGUCCUCUCAGAACAAUAGUUGAUCUUAGCCUCCCUUCUAUAUACAGUAUGUAUAACCAUAAGUAAUUGUGCUGAUGGCUAAAGUUCCCACUGUUCUUUUCCACAAAAACUAAUAUUGCUCUAUUAUAGGUAUUCUUCGCCUUUGCUUGUAGGACCACUGCUUACCAAAUAGCAGUCAUUUCUUUUCAAUAAUGCCUGGAAAGUUCAGCACAGGAAAGUUAAAGCCGUUUUUCUUUUUUUGAAGUCCAUCUUCUUGGGAGAGACAGUCAAAAUGCUAGAAUUAGAAAAUUCUCUGAUUUUAUAUGGGAUAAUUAUUCUCCCUAUUCAUACCCUUACUGAUAACUGGGUGAUGGAAAGGGGCGGGCUAGGACAGGGAUGAGGUUGUGAGUGUUUCUCAAAGGCGAUGGAAAGUAAUUAUGCUAGCAGUCUUAGGUCUUUGCUCCCUAAUACUGAAAUUCCAGUGGGAAAUAUGUGAGGCCAUGACUACCAUCAAUGCUAAAACAUACAGGUAAAGCCUCCUGUUCUGUAUCUGUAUUUAACUCUAUAUACAGGACAGUUUGGGGGAUAUAUUGAAUCAAAAGAAGGAAUAAAAUGGGGAAAAAUGCAAUUGAUAAGGCAAAUGAAGAUCAUUUGAGAUCAACAGGGGAUUGGACACAGGACAGAAAAGAAAGGAAGGAUAAAAGCUUGAGGUGAAAGUAUCCUACCAGGGAGGUUACUGGAUUUGUGAUGGAAAGGAGUUAUUUGUGAAGGAAAGGAAGACAAAAUGAUAUUGGGAACAGACACGAUGAAAGUCAUUUAACGGGUGUGGUGGCUCACGCCUGUAGUCCCAGCACUUUGGGAGGCCGAGGCAGGCGGAUCAUGAGGUCAGGAGAUCAAGACCAUCCUGGCUAACAUGGUGAAACCCCAUCUCUACUAAAAAAUACAAAAAAAUUAGCCGGGCAUGGUGGCACGUGCCUGUAGUCUCAGCUACUCAGGAGGCUGAGGCAGAAGAAUGGGGUGAACCCGGGAGGCAGAGCUUGCAGUGAGCCGAGAUAGCGCCACUGCACCCGAGCCUGGGCGACAGGGUGAGACUCCCUCUCAAAAAUAAAUAAAAUAAAAUAAAUAAAUAAAUAAAUAUUCAAAUAUUUACUUUGAUGUUAUAAAAUACAUGUUUAUAUUUCAUUUUCAUGAUAGUUUUUAGCCUUGGUCUUUUUCUAACUCAGCAUUUGUUUAGAUCUGCUUAUAUUUUACAUUCAAACCACAAUAUUUCUGAGGAAGAAACAUACAAUAUGUAAUCAGGGUCAGGAUUUGAGUCCCUGCCCUUGCCCUCACUAUCUUUGUCAUCUUGUUCGAGAUGCUAUAAAUUCUUAUUUGCAAAAUAAGUUUUUUUGUUUUUUUACAAUACAUAGUUUAUAUGGUUGUUUUAAAGAUUACACAAUGUAGAUGGAAAGUGCUUUUAAAAUAUAAACCGUUAAGCUGAUCUAUGUUGCUUUAAAAAUAGGGUGAAAUGUAAGAUUCCUGUGGUGGUUUUAUCCAUUCUAGUUUGUUAGACUUUUGAAAAAUCCAUGUGUUACUUACCAAACCUGGGUUUGGUUCUGCUUGAGCCCUUUCAUGCUUCUGUUGCCUGAGGGUUGCUGCAGUGUCACAGCACUAGAAGUUUAUAGACAAAUCAGUGUCUUGGUCCCGGGCACAGAUCCCAUGUUAAAUAGAUGAGUCCUAAGAUCUGUGAUGGGGUCCACAGGAGUUGACAGCAGGCAUUCAAGCUAAAGGCUGAUGCAGUGGAGAGUUCUCUGGAGCCUUGGCACUAACAUCCUGGAGACAUCUAUACUCAAAGAUAUUUUGGCAUCUUCCAGGAGGUUCUAAUGCCUUCACAGGACAAACUUUCAAGCUUUCUUUUUCAAUCUUCUUCAAUCUAGCCAUUCCAGCUCAAUUCAAAACAGUUACAAUAGUUUAAUAUCGUUGGGGGCCAGGCCCAAAACACCUUCUUUCUCAUUUUUGCUCUUUCUAUUCAAGCUUUUAGCCAAAGCUUUGUUUACAGGAAUUCUGAAAUACUGCUUUCCCUCUACAAGUGACUUUUUUUUUUCCUCUGCUCUCAAUUAGUCAUGAUUAACAGCUACCACGGUAAUUGUAGCCAAGGUGAAAUAAGUAACUCUAAAGUAAUUCUAAAACCUAGCUCUACUGCCUUGGCAGCUCUCUGCAGCUGAGAAAGGCCACAUGAGUUUGGUCUGCGACCUCUGUGGAGAUGCAUUACAGAGAAUAAUUUACCUUGACCUGUUCUCAAAACAUAAUUACUGUUUAAAGUCAAAGAUGGACACACAUUUUCAUAUCAAGUUACUGAAGAUUUAAAAAGACACACACACACACACAAAUCAAAACAACAACACAAAAGCCUCUGACCAUUAUUUUGUCCUCUUAAAAUUGAUGGACUACCCACUUUUGUGCUUUAGCUUCUUAUUGCUAUCAAAAUAAUGGUAUUUUUCUAAACACAUAUAUUAUUUAUUUUUAAAUAAUUGACAUUGGAUUAUUUUGCUCUGAGUUUAUGGUAAACUACUAAUCUUUUUUUUUUUAAGUGAAAAUUUGUCUAUCACUAGUGACCACAAUCAUCCUCUGUGUUUUGUUGGAGUUUUUUAACCACCAAUGAAAGCAAAGUUUACUUGGUCUUUCAUACACAAAUUUUGCUGUAUAUCUGUGUUGCCUAUUUACUUUGUGAUAUUUAUGUGUAAGAGUGAACAAAGGAGCACUACUUUCUAAGUCUUUGAGCAUUUUUUUUUUCUUAUUCUCAGGAAAAUAGUUGUCAACUGUGUUCCCAUGUCCACAGCCUCAUUUAUCUCCAGUGCUGUUUGAACAUGGUCUCUGUGGAGAUGCGUAGAGGGAGGUAGGAGGAAACAAUAGGGAAUAAAGGCUAUUCCUCUGUAUCUUUUGAAAUGUUUGCAGAUUUUCUAGUCUUUACACAAUAGUUUAUUAAAAAUGUCUCUCUCAACAGCACCAGAAAUUAUAUAAGAAGCUAGAUGCAUUAGUCCAAUAUUACUGAUUUGGUUUUGAGAUCUUUUAAAAUGCAUCUUUGCU
rnacentral:lncRNA from 1 species